AAUGCUUUUUCCCUUUGGGCAGAAAGCUGCUCCCUUUUCGUCACAGCCUGGAUAAUGAAUUGCAGUGUACAAAGCCGGUCAUACAAUACGCAGCAGCGGCAGCGCGGAGCGAGAAUCUUUGGGAAGAGUUUCCAUAGAAACAUUGACGUCCUGCUGGCGAACAGGACACCGAGUUCCUUCAAUGGGAGGUGAAGACGUGGCCCUCAAGGAUUGUCCAUCCCACCAUGGGCUGUGGCCUCUCCAUGCUGUGUCAUUUCUUCAGCCUUGUGGUUCCACUGGGCUUAGCUGCUAAAAGGCUUUUGCUCUGCAAAAAGGCUGCCUAUAGUCCUGGUCCUGUUGAUGUGGAUAUGCAACCACCAAUCCUCCAAAACCUCAGGGAGAACCUUUUGUAGGAGGACCUGAGCAAAAUACAGCCUCCCUGUAUUUUGCUCAACUCCUCAACUGCAGCCUCAAUGGUGGCCAGCAGAGUCCCCCGGAGGAGACAACAGAGCUGAAGGAAGCUCUUGGAGAAAAUAUGAUCCAACUCAGAAGAAAACUUCCAGGGAGCAGAUCUCCUGGUGUGAAGGAACAAUUGCAUUAUUAUCUCCCUGAAGCUGGAGAUAAAUGGGAUUUAUCCUCUUUGGGGCAAACAAUUUACCAGACAACAAAAGUUAAAAUUCCUGGUAAGGAACAAGGUUAGGCUGUGCAGCUGCAAGUGCUUCUGGAGAAUCUAAGCCCGACGUGUGAAUAAAUACUCUUUAUUUUCUGAAACGAAACCAGUCCCACAUAUAACGGACACAAAUUUCAGCCUCUUCCUUACUCAGUUUUCAACAGCUGCUCAUGCAAUAGUUCAGCCAGCCAGAAAGGAGAUGUUCAUAGAUAGCUGGAAACAAAAUCAAUUUCUGCCACUUUCAUGACCGGUUUCACUCCCAGAUCCUCCAGCUCAGGGCUGGCUUCUUUUGCAAAUCCUUGUAGGUGGGAUGGCUGGUUAAUAAUUGCUGUAAUUCAUUUAGGUCAUAGCCUUUUUUCUGCUCUUUCUUUUCACUUUUUGAGGGAGAGUUGAAACAGAGAUCACCCAAGGCAUGAGCACUAGUUUGACUUAUUGCCACAGUCAGCUAAAUCUGAGCUCUCUGCCCAGUAUCCAUGGCUCAGUUCACCUCAGGUCUCUGGCACUGCUUCUUACAAUUGCCCUUCUUCUACUUAAAUUUCAAAAGCUGAGAAUUGUUCUGGUUUUAAGGAUAAUCACACAGUUACACCUAAUGGGUAUGAGGCUAUUUUCAAGAUUAAAAAUAUUCCUUUUAAAAUACUUGGGUCUGUAUUUUCUUGCUCAUGUAUGCGGGUACUUUUAUUAAAAGUCUGCUCUGA